ACUGUGGAAGGCUACCCAGAACUUGUCCAUAUCUCUCUCUGUGCAGAGCAGCCUGCGAAGGGUGGGGGCUAUCUCUGUGACCAGUGGGGGUGGAGUUCGAAACACAUAAAGGAAAGAUGUAACUCUGAAAGAGUUGGAGUUGUGUAGAGGGUCAGCACACCUCCCAGUGGAAUCGAUAUUGAUUCUCCUGCAUCUAUGUAUAUGUACAGGGGUGAGGGAAUUUACUUUCAGUAAGAAAGUGACCAUUAAAAGUGGAAGAGGAGGAGUAGUGAGGUCCUCAAGGAAGCAGGACUUUCUCCAGUGGGAGUGAUGGUGGAUUUUGGGAGUUCUAAGAGCUAUUGCCAUUGCCCAGAGUCAAAUCAGCUCAAAGAUUUACCUGAUGCAUCGAUCGUGAAUCUUUCCAUUCUAGACUUUUGAUGGGCUGUGGAUUUUUUUCAUCUCGGAGGGUCACAUGCCUCCUUCUGGUCAGAUUGUAUAUAAACUAAGAGAACAAGGAAAACAAAUAAGUAAAAAGUUUGAAGGUACAGUCGGUACCAAAGGACUGGGAAUAAUAUAGGCUGCAGAGCCUAGAAAGAAACUGCUAAACGAAAAUGAGAGAAAGAGGAAGCAACCUUGCAAAUGAGAAGAUGCAAGCUAGGCCUUAAGAAAAGAAUGGCAAGGAUCAUGCUAUUGGCUUUGGCUCAAGAGAGACUAGUUUCUGGAAUAAAGAUCGAAUCAGGCUCGGAACAAGGGAAGAUGGAGUUCAGCCAUAAUGUUAGCGGAUAUGGACUGAAUUGCAUUAACUCUUACCAGAGUACAGCUUUCCAAGUGAACAUUAUUCACGUUUAUCCCUUGGUAGUGUGCAUCAGAAGUUAUGGCAGGCAUCACCCUUGAACCAACCCUGCUUUUGCCCAAUAUUCAUGCCUACUUUCUACAGUAGCAGGAGUCCCAGGAAAGUGAUCAGCGUCAGGAUUCCUAUCAGAUCUUUUUACCUCAUAGAAAGAAAGAAGAAAUAACUUGUAUUAUUUUACACCUCCUUAUCGUGUUGAAACAGCUCAAAGUGUUAGCCAACCUCAGUCCUCAGUUGAUAGCACUCUUGCCUCUGAAGACUGGAUUCAAGCUCCAUGUCCAAACUUUGAAUUCAUAUAGUCCAAUUGACACCUGUGUCUAACACCCAACUGACCAAAACAAAGAGUGAGAUCAGAUUAUACUAUCUAUAGAAGUGCAACUAUAAGCUAAAUUCCUAUCUAACAGAGAAGGA